rnacentral:rRNA from 1 species
AUUGAACGCUGGCGGCGUGCCUAACACAUGCAAGUCGAGCGGUAACAGGUGUAGCAAUACAUGCUGACGAGCGGCGGACGGGUGAGUAACGCUUGGGAAUCUGCCUGUUAGUGGGGGACAACCCGGGGAAACUCGGGCUAAUACCGCAUACGCACUACGGUGGAAAGCCGGGGACCGCAAGGCCUGGCGCUAACAGAUGAGCCCAAGUCGGAUUAGCUAGUUGGUAGGGUAACGGCCACCAAGGCGACGAUCCGUAACUGGUCUGAGAGGACGACCAGUCACACCGGAACUGAGACACGGUCCGGACUCCUACGGGAGGCAGCAGUGGGGAAUAUUGGACAAUGGGCGAAAGCCUGAUCCAGCGACGCCGCGUGGGUGAAGAAGGCCGUGCGGGUUGUAAAGCCCUUUCGGUGGGGAAGAAAAGCCUCGAGUUAACACCUCGGGGUCUUGACGUAACCCAUAGAAGAAGCACCGGCUAACUCUGUGCCAGC